rnacentral:rRNA from 1 species
UCNUCUGGCUUAACUGGGGGCUUGCGGUGGGUACGGGCCGGCUUGAGUGCGGUAGGGGAGACUGGAACUCCUGGUGUAGCGGUGGAAUGCGCAGAUAUCAGGAAGAACACCGGUGGCGAAGGCGGGUCUCUGGGCCGUUACUGACGCUGAGGAGCGAAAGCGUGGGGAGCGAACAGGAUUAGAUACCCUGGUAGUCCACGCCGUAAACGUUGGGCACUAGGUGUGGGGGGCCUUUUCCGGGUCUUCCGCGCCGUAGCUAACGCAUUAAGUGCCCCGCCUGGGGAGUACGGCCGCAAGGCUAAAACUCAAAGGAAUUGACGGGGGCCCGCACAAGCGGCGGAGCAUGCGGAUUAAUUCGAUGCAACGCGAAGAACCUUACCAAGGCUUGACAUGUGCCGGUCGGCUCCGGAGACGGGGUUUCCUCCUUGUGGGGCCGGUUCACAGGUGGUGCAUGGUUGUCGUCAGCUCGUGUCGUGAGAUGUUGGGUUAAGUCCCGCAACGAGCGCAACCCUUGUCCCGCGUUGCCAGUACGUUGUGGUGGGGACUCGCGGGAGACUGCCGGGGUCAACUCGGAGGAAGGUGGGGAUGACGUCAAAUCAUCAUGCCCCUUAUGUCUUGGGCUUCACGCAUGCUACAAUGGCCGGUACAGAGGGCUGCGAUACCGUGAGGUGGAGCGAAUCCCUUAAAGCCGGUCUCAGUUCGGAUCGGUGUCUGCAACUCGACACCGUGAAGUUGGAGUCGCUAGUAAUCGCAGAUCAGCAACGCUGCGGUGAAUACGUUCUCGGGCCUUGUACACACCGCCCGUCACGUCAUGAAAGUCGGCAACACCCGAAGCCCGUGGCCCUACGGGGAGCGG